rnacentral:lncRNA from 1 species
CCAUGCAAUAUUUCCCAAAAAUAUCAAAAUAGAAAUUCCCAUGCUACAGUCCACAACUUAAAAUAAAGUCCUAAAAAGUUAUUAAGACAAACCAAAAUUAAAGUCCAUAAUAAAAUCCAAAACAAACUCAUAUAGUUCGUAAAAGUUCCAAAAUUAUUUUUAAAAUCCAUAACCAAGAAAACAUUAUUCUGAGAGCUCCUCC